GGGUUGUGAGGUUAAGCGACUAAGCGUACACGGUGGAUGCCCUGGCAGUCAGAGGCGAUGAAGGGCGUGCUAAUCUGCGAUAAGCGCCGGUAAGGUGAUAUGAACCGUUAUAACCGGCGAUACCCGAAUGGGGAAACCCAGUGUGACUCGUCACACUAUCAUUAACUGAAUCCAUAGGUUAAUGAGGCGAACCGGGGGAACUGAAACAUCUAAGUACCCCGAGGAAAAGAAAUCAACCGAGAUUCCCCCAGUAGCGGCGAGCGAACGGGGAGGAGCCCAGAGCCUGAAUCAGCAUGUGUGUUAGUGGAAGCGUCUGGAAAGGCGCGCGAUACAGGGUGACAGCCCCGUACACAAAAGCGCAUGUGCUGUGAGCUCGAUGAGUAGGGCGGGACACGUGGUAUCCUGUCUGAAUAUGGGGGGACCAUCCUCCAAGGCUAAAUACUCCUGACUGACCGAUAGUGAACCAGUACCGUGAGGGAAAGGCGAAAAGAACCCCGGCGAGGGGAGUGAAAAAGAACCUGAAACCGUGUACGUACAAGCAGUGGGAGCACCCUUUUGGGUGUGACUGCGUACCUUUUGUAUAAUGGGUCAGCGACUUAUAUUCUGUAGCAAGGUUAACCGAAUAGGGGAGCCGGAGGGAAACCGAGUCUUAAUUGGGCGUUAAGUUGCAGGGUAUAGACCCGAAACCCGGUGAUCUAGCCAUGGGCAGGUUGAAGGUUGGGUAACACUAACUGGAGGACCGAACCGACUAAUGUUGAAAAAUUAGCGGAUGACCUGUGGCUGGGGGUGAAAGGCCAAUCAAACCGGGAGAUAGCUGGUUCUCCCCGAAAGCUAUUUAGGUAGCGCCUCGUGAAUUCAUCUCCGGGGGUAGAGCACUGUUUCGGCUAGGGGGCCAUCCCGGCUUACCAACCCGAUGCAAACUGCGAAUACCGGAGAAUGUUAUCACGGGAGACACACGGCGGGUGCUAACGUCCGUCGUGAAGAGGGAAACAACCCAGACCGCCAGCUAAGGUCCCAAAGUCAUGGUUAAGUGGGAAACGAUGUGGGAAGGCCCAGACAGCCAGGAUGUUGGCUUAGAAGCAGCCAUCAUUUAAAGAAAGCGUAAUAGCUCACUGGUCGAGUCGGCCUGCGCGGAAGAUGUAACGGGGCUAAACCAUGCACCGAAGCUGCGGCAGCGAC
rnacentral:rRNA from 1 species